AGAGACUUAGGUUAAACAAACCAAGGACCUUCAAAGCCCUAAAUAGAAGCUACACCCUCUAGUCUCUG
rnacentral:tRNA from 1 species